rnacentral:rRNA from 1 species
AUUCCAGCUCCCCUUUCGUCUCUUCCCGUUGUUGCCGUUCCCCCGCUCGUCGUUGGCUUUCUGGCAGGAGUGACUGACCACACACUCUGUUUGUGAGUUGUGUCAUUCUGGCCAUCCUUGGUAAGAUCCUUUUUGGCAUUAAGUUGUCGGGAAGGGGAUGACCAUCGUUUACUGUGAAAAAAUUAGAGUGUUUAAAGCAGGCUUAUGCCGUUGAAUAUAUUAGCAUGGAAUAAUAAGAUAGGACUUUGAGUCUAUUUUGUUGGUUUGCGAGUCAAAGUAAUGAUUAAUAGGGACAGUUGGGGGUAUUCGUAUUUCAUUGUCAGAGGUGAAAUUCUUGGAUUUCUGAAAGACGAACUACUGCGAAAGCAUUUACCAAGGAUGUUUUCAUUG